GGGGGGGGGCAGGAAGAUAGGCGGAGCCCUAGUUGCAAACGAGCAGGGCUCUGGGAGGCGGAGCGUGCCGCGGGACAUCCCUAGGAAGCACCUUCUAUAGGCCGCAAGUGACGGCAUGCUCCACUGGGCGCGAGCGUGGAGGGUCCCCCGUGGGAAGCUUGGUGCCUCCUCUCCCAGAUGCUCGGCGGUGCCCGGUGCCUUCAGUAGCAGCCACAGUAGUGGCCAAGGAAACGCCGAUCCGAGGCCGCUGCCGCUGUCCUAUAACCUUCUAGAUGGAGAGGCGACACUCCCGGCCAUCGUCUUUUUGCAUGGACUCUUUGGCAGUAAAACCAACUUCAACUCCAUUGCCAAGGCCAUGGUCCAGAGGACCGGCAGGAGGGUGUUGACAGUGGAUGCUCGGAACCACGGUGACAGUCCCCACAGUCCAGAUGCAAGCUACGAGGCCAUGAGUCAGGACCUUCAGGGCCUCCUGCCACAGCUGGGCCUGGUGCCCUGCGUCCUCGUUGGCCACAGCAUGGGAGGAAAGACAGCCAUGCUUCUGGCCCUGCAGAGGCCGGAUGUUGUGGAAAGAUUGGUCGCUGUGGACAUAAGCCCAGUGGGAACCACACCUGGAUCCUGCCUCGAAAGCUACAUAGCGGCCAUGAAAGCGGCUGAUCUCCCGGAGAAGGUGCGGCACUCCGAGGCCCGAAAACUGGUAGAUGAACAACUUAGCUCCACUGUCAAGGACCCAACCAUUCGGCGGUUCCUGCUCAAUAACCUUGUGGAGAUAGACGGGCAAUUCUCCUGGAGAGUGAACUUGGAUACUUUAGCUCAGUAUUUGGACAAGAUUUUGACCUUCCCACAGCAACUUGAAUCCUACUCAGGGCCAACUCUCUUUCUGCGUGGUGGGAAUUCUAGAUAUAUACAACCCAGCCACCACUCAGAGAUUAGGCGUCUCUUUCCUAAAGCCCAGAUUCAGACUGUGCCUAAUGCUGGCCACUGGGUCCACAGUGACAAACCCCAGGACUUCAUAGAUGCUCUCAGCAGCUUCUUGGCCUAAGAAGUGGCUCCUUGGAAGAGCAGACAGGGAACUCUGGGCUUGGCAUCCUUGUGACCUGUCCCCUGGCUUCUGCACAGAAAAACUCAGAGCCAGAAACAGAGCCAGCAAGGUGGCUAAGCAGGUAAGUGUGCCCGCUGCCGAUCCUAGAGACCGGAGUGUCACCCCUUGGGAUCCACAGGCUCCAGACAUGACACGUUAUGACAGUAGCUGUGCAAAGCAGAAGUGUAAACGAAGGGUCUGAACGAACUCUCACUCACAAGCCAAGGAAAUGGAACAGCCCUGCCCUUUAAUGCCCACACACUGUGGCUCAUGCAUGACUGCGUGUGCGCGUACACACACACACUAAUAAAGUUAAGUUACC